AGCUUUUCGCGGUGGUAGUAUCGUAGCCAAUGAAGUUUAUCCAAGGAGCGACUAUUGCUAAUUGAAAACUUUUCUCAAUACCCCGCCAUGACGACUUGAAAUAUAGUCGGCAUUGGCAAUUUUUGAUAGUCUUUAUGGAGA